CAUGGUCAUAGUAAACACCAAGGUUUUGGUUUUACAAGAAAAAAAACAUUACCAAUUAAUCACCUACAUGAGUAGUAUUCUGUUUCCUGGAGCUCACAGCUUCAUACAAAGAAGUUAAUCCUGCAGCUUUACAGAAACAAGAAAACCAUAUCUAACACUAGGGACUACUUCUUUCACAAGCACCAGAAGCCAGCCCAAAAUGCAGUAGGUCAACCAUGUUAAUACUUAUUUUGUUUUUUUUCUCUCUGCCCAUCUUUAACCCCCUUCCAGCAAUAUAAGCUAUUCCUCCUCAAAGUUUUCAGCCUCUUCUUAAAUUUCAAUGGUCAUCAUACUUGACUGUACUUGUAUCUGGAGUUCUCCAACAGGACCAUGCAAAAAUGGAGUGAAAACAAUGACAUUUUUUAAGCCCUGCAGUCAGGUCCUCAAUGUUCUCAGCAUCUGACUCUAGCCUGCAGAGGUGUGAAUCAAAGUCUGUUUUCCCAUGUGGUCAUGCCAGAUGGUUGGCUCAAAACCCAUCAUUUCUUUACAGCAAAACUCACUAGACACAGACAGUAACCAUAAGAUAUAUUGGAAACUUGAAUCUUGUAUAAUUUAGACUGCCAACACCCAAGCGAAAGAUACUUCACCCUACUACUUAUGUCAGCUCUUCAAGGAUGGUUUCUUUGCUGAAUAUGUCCUGAAACAUUUCAAGGCAAUGGUAAAAAUAAAUUACUACGGUUAGCCUGCAUCUUCUCAUUCUAAAAGAUCUUGUAUUUACUUCUGAACUUUGAUUGUCAAAUUACAUUCAAGGAUCAUUUCACAUGCCCUAAAAGUCAGUCCUGCUUCCAAGGAACGGUUGAAAACAGCUAUGCAGAACAACGGAUCACAUGCUAAUUUUAUGUCAUUGUCUGUGGCUGUGUUGCAGAGUGUUCUGGAAUUUGUCAGGGGUGGUGAUACCCAACCAUGUCACACUGUACCUUUUACAAAAGAAUUAGAACACUCAGUAAGGCUCUGCCCUGGUGAAAUUGUGAAGGGAGUGCUGAAGAUAACAUUAUUCAGUAAAACAAAUAAAAAUUCAGGAAGGAGACAGUGAGUUGAAAAUAACCAUAUGUUGCGAAAAUCUGGCACUGUAUAUUUAGUGACCACAAGAGGUCAGGACAUCAGUUUUCCACUGCAUCUUAAAAGCAACAUCUCUAAGAGCCUGGAGCCAGAAUACUAUUUUAGCCACGUGGCAGAGAUGCUGUAAAGAAGCAGAACACAGUUGUGCAAGCAGCCAAAAUCUCUCUGUCCACGUGGGUAUCCCAGCACAUGUGUACACGCAAAUGCAACCCUGCUGACCAGAACACAUCUAUUCAGAGAAACAUUAUCACCGUCAUUUCUGCUCCAAGACUCACAGCAUCACUCAUCAACAAGAAGUCAAGGUCACGACACCCCCAAAGACACAACGCACAGACUCAUCCCUUCAGGUCUCCGUGCUGCUGAGAACCUCCCUCCUCACACGCUCACUAAUGGCACCAUCGCCGCUCCCCUCCAGAUUGUUUAACAGAUGCUCUUGAUAAAUACCGGAGCAGCUGAAAUUCUGCAGGAAAUGAAGCGCGGCCGCCUGACCGCCACGGCUGCUGCUGAAGGAUGGGAGACACUUACAAGGUCUUUGGGAUGGGUAUCACACGAGCAAAGGGAUUCGGCCCUUUUGCUGGGACUGAAGGGUCUGAAGUCAGGGAAUGGAGUGGGCCUGAGUGGUAUGAAUUUCAUAAGGUAUUAUCAGCUCCCAGGUCACUGGCACGGGGAGGUUCUCCUAGAGGAAAUAUGAUGAACUGUGCUAGCUUAUAGGGCUCCCAGCUGCAUCUGUGCAAGUAAUAAAUUCACUGGAAGCUAACAAACACACAAUUUACAGUUUGAAUAAACAUACGCAGGGGGGGUGUGUGUGUAUAUAUAUAUUUUUGUGUGCGUUUGUAUUUGAAUUUUACUGUUCUCAAAUAGCUAUCUAACAUAUUUGUGAAGAAGUGCAAACAAUCCAUUUGCAGGACAAGAAUUUAGUUGCAGUCCUUUUUAGCUCCACAACCAGAGAAGUUUUCCAGGUGUUCUGCCCACUGACAUUUAGUUGUCCCAAGCAAUGGACAGAUUGAAGCAUCAAGAUUCCCCCCCACUUGUGACUUACAAAAGUAAGGCAACCUUCCAAAAUGCAAUGGCCCUGUUAAAUCUGUAGUUCAUCAAUAGUUUUGUUUAAAACUAUGUACUUUGCCUUUAUUUCCCUUUUCCUUUCUUCUUUUCCUCCACUUCUAGGCUAAUCUAAUCUAGCCUAGUCCUCAUAGAUUUUCAUCGACUUUAUAUUUAAACUUCUGUCACCAUAUUAAACAACAGGCAGAGGGAAAAAGGAUGGUGAACAUUCUGAGAAGGGAAAGGAUGAGCUGCUGGGGUAGUGGCUGUAGUUAGAAAAGUAAACUUCAGUUUUUAUAGGAAAUUCCUCUUGUGAAUUGGAAGCAGCAGCACAGAUUCUAAAACCUUCCCACGGAAGAGAAAUUGUGUAAGAAAAAUAAAAUUAAAAUCAUAUGGAGACAUCAAAAUGCCAUAAUGCGAAGCACUCUAUGCUACUACAAGCUAUUUAAAAUUAAUGCCUUAAUGUAGUAUAAAAUCCAUACAAAUUAGAUUGGGAAAAAAUGUGGAAACCAAGUGUUUUUUCUGGUCUCAGAGCAAAACAUUUUGUCAUUACCCAAAUGAAAUAGGAAGUCAAAACAAUUCAUUUUAACUAUUCUCCAUCAAACAUUUCAUUGCAAUUGACUUGUUCCA